rnacentral:rRNA from 1 species
GAGGAGCCUGCGGCGGAUUAGCUAGUUGGCGGGGUAAUGGCCCACCAAGGCGAAGAUCGGUAGCCGGCCUGAGAGGGCGCACGGCCACACUGGAACUGAAGCACGGUCCAGACUCCUACGGGAGGCAGCAGUGGGGAAUUUUGCGCAAUGGGGAAAACCCUGACGCAGCAACGCCGCGUGGAGGAUGAAGUCCCUUGGGACGUAAACUCCUUUCGACCGGGAAGAUGAUGACGGUACCGGUGGAAGAAGCACCGGCUAACUCUGUGCCAGCAGCCGCGGUAAUACAGAGGGUGCGAGCGUUGUUCGGAAUUAUUGGGCGUAAAGGGCGCGUAGGCGGUGUGGUAAGUCACCUGUGAAAUCUCCGGGCUUAACUCGGAGCCUGCAGGCGAAACUGCCGUGCUGGAGUGUGGGAGAGGUGCGUGGAAUUCCCGGUGUAGCGGUGAAAUGCGUAGAUAUCGGGGAG